GGAGGAAGGUGGGGAUGACGUCAAAUCAUCAUGCCCCUUAUGUCUUGGGCUUCACGCAUGCUACAAUGGCCGGUACAAAGGGCUGCGAUACCGUAAGGUGGAGCGAAUCCCAAAAAGCCGGUCUCAGUUCGGAUUGGGGUCUGCAACUCGACCCCAUGAAGUCGGAGUCGCUAGUAAUCGCAGAUCAGCAACGCUGCGGUGAAUACGUUCCCGGGCCUUGUACACACCGCCCGUCACAC
rnacentral:rRNA from 1 species